rnacentral:rRNA from 1 species
CCUACGGGAGGCAGCAGUGAGGAAUAUUGGUCAAUGGGCGGAAGCCUGAACCAGCCAAGUCGCGUGAGGGAUGAAGGUACAGAGUAUCGUAAACCUCUUUUGUCAGGGAACAAAGGCGGGGACGCGUCCCCGGAUGAGUGUACCUGAAGAAAAAGCAUCGGCUAACUCCGUGCCAGCAGCCGCGGUAAUACGGAGGAUGCGAGCGUUAUCCGGAUUUAUUGGGUUUAAGGGGUGCGCAGGCGGUCUGUUAAGUCAGCGGUCAAAGCCCGGGGCUCAACCCCGGCCCGCCGUUGAAACUGGCAGUCUCGAGUUGGAGAGAAGUAUGCGGAAUGCGCGGUGUAGCGGUGAAAUGCAUAGAUAUCGCGCAGAACUCCGAUUGCGAAGGCAGCAUGCCGGCUCCACACUGACGCUGAGGCACGAAAGCGUGGGUAUCGAACAGGAUUAGAUACCCCAGUAGUC